CUCCAGAUGUCUCACAUCUACUUUACAUACAAGUUCCCUCAGAUCUCCUUCUCUCAUGAUCCCAUUUCAGCUCUCUGUGGUGAAUCUGAUACCCCACUACUGAUGCCAGGAUCUACAAUGGUUAAGGUUCCACUGCCUGACAAACAUGUUAGUGAUACUGGUGCUUGCUGUUGUCUGCAUUGAGGCUUCUGAUAUCUGUUACUGAGGAUAUUGAGGUUUACCCACAGAGAACUCUUGCCUGGUGCUGCUGAAGCUCUUCGUAUACCAUCUCCUCUGAACAGAGUCAACAUAUGACUUGUCUUCAAUUAUAGCCAAAGCUGCUGUUGCUACCCAUGUGAGAGUAAAGAAGGGAAGUUAAAUCAGUGCUGCUUUCCUUGAUGGUUCCAUUGAUCCAAAAGCCCAUUGAAGUCAAUAGGAUUUCGUCUUUAGCAGAAAUGCUGCACUUAGAUUAUCUCCAUAGGAAAGUACAGAAAAAAAAAAAACUGAUCGAAAUAGCUGAGUUACUUUCAAACCACCAGCCUGCUUUAUUUUUAAACAUAUUAGAAGUUUCACUAAUCUUUAAAGUGGAUUUUGUACACUGAGAGUAAUACUUAUAAUAAUAAUAUAAUGCAUUAAAGAAGAGAAAACUAGUCUGUGUGAUUGAUAUUUUAGCUUCCUCCCUUUUUUGAAACAAUUUCCUUUGGUUUCAU
rnacentral:lncRNA from 10 species